AUGAAGAAUGAAACCUACUCCAUCAUGUCUUGGAAUGUUCGUGGACUAGGUGAUAAUGACAAAUGUGCUAAUGUAUUCUCUGAAAUCAACCACUUGCGCCCAUCGAUAGCUUUGUUUCAAGAAACGAAGUUACACUAAUCGGACACCAUUAAACUACGCUCGAUCUUGCCACGCUUCCUUGAUUCAAAUAACCACCUCGACGCUAUUGGUUCUGCGGGUGGUAUUCUCUCUGCCACUAACUCACGUUGCUUUUCACUUCUUAACUGUGACCAUAGAGGUUUUACCUCCACCCUAACCGUUUCAUGUCUUGCCUCGCAACACAACAUCUUUAUAACUAACGUGUACGCUCCCUCACAAAGGGAUCUAAAACUAGAAUUCCUAGAAGAGCUCAAACAAAUCGAGCCACCACCACAAUCCCCAAGGCUUCUCAUCGGCGAUUUCAAUCUAAUCCGCUUCCCUAAUGAAAAGAACAAUAACAAUUUUCGACGAUCUAAGGCCGAUGCCUUCAAUGACACCAUUGAUCAACUUGCGCUGCUCGAACUCCCUCUUCUUGACCGCCAAUUCACGUGGUCAAAUAAGAGGACGUCCCCCACGCUAAUACGAUUAGACAUAGUUCUUAUAAACCUAGCCUGGGAUGCGCUCUUUCCCAACUCGCACCUGACCUCCCUCUCUCGAUUCGCCUCCGAUCACGUACCGCUCCUGGUUACUGUCUCCACAUCUAUCCCAUCUUCCUGCCUUUUUCGUUUUGAACGUUACUGGACCUCUUUUUAG
rnacentral:rRNA from 1 species